GACGAACGCUGGCGGCGUGCUUAACACAUGCAAGUCGAACGGUAAGGCCCUUCGGGGUACACGAGUGGCGAACGGGUGAGUAACACGUGGGUGAUCUGCCCUGCACUUCGGGAUAAGCCUGGGAAACUGGGUCUAAUACCGGAUAGGACCCUGGGAUGCAUGUCCUGGGGUGGAAAGCUUUUGCGGUGUGGGAUGGGCCCGCGGCCUAUCAGCUUGUUGGUGGGGUGAUGGCCUACCAAGGCGACGACGGGUAGCUGGCCUGGGAGGGUGACCGGCCACGCUGGGACUGAGAUACGGCCCAGACUCCUACGGGAGGCAGCAGUGGGGAAUAUUGCACAAUGGGCGCAAGCCUGAUGCAGCGACGCCGCGUGAGGGAUGACGGCCUUCGGGUUGUAAACCUCUUUCAGCACCGACGAAGCGCAAGUGACGGUAGGUGCAGAAGAAGGACCGGCCAACUACGUGCCAGCCGCCGCCGUAA
rnacentral:rRNA from 1 species